UACGAAGGGGGCUAGCGUUGUUCGGAAUCACUGGGCGUAAAGCGUACGUAGGCGGAUCGUUAAGUCAGGGGUGAAAUCCUGGAGCUCAACUCCAGAACUGCCUUUGAUACUGAAGAUCUUGAGUUCGGGAGAGGUGAGUGGAACUGCGAGUGUAGAGGUGAAAUUCGUAGAUAUUCGCAAGAACACCAGUGGCGAAGGCGGCUCACUGGCCCGAUACUGACGCUGAGGUACGAAAGCGUGGGGAGCAAACAGG
rnacentral:rRNA from 1 species